GACGAACGCUGGCGGCGUGCCUAAUACAUGCAAGUUGAGCGCUGAAGGAUGGUACUUGUACCAACUGGAUGAGCAGCGAACGGGUGAGUAACGCGUGGGGAAUCUGCCUCUGAGCGGGGGACAACAUUUGGAAACGAAUGCUACUACUGCCUCAAAACUUUAAACACAAGUAUUAAGUUUGCAAGAUGCAAUUGCAUCACUCAAAGAUGAUCCCGCGUUGUAUUAGCUAGUUGGUGAGGUAAAGGCUCACCAAGGCGAUGAUACAUAGCCGACCUGAGAGGGUGAUCGACCACAUUGGGACUGAGACACGGCCCAAACUCCUACGGGAGGCAGCAGGAGGGAAUCAUCGGCAAUGGGCGGAAGUCUGGACGAGCAACGCCGGGGGAGGUAAGAAGGUUGUCGGAUCGUAAAACUCUGUUGGUAGAGAAGAACGUUGGUGAGAGUGGAAAGCUCAUCAAGUGACGGUAACUACCCAGAAAGGGACGGCUAACUACGUG
rnacentral:rRNA from 1 species